rnacentral:misc_RNA from 1 species
AACUGAUACUACCUGCGGGAACCUGCGGAAGGAUCAUUAUUGAAUAAACUUGGUCAAGCUGUUGCUGGUCCUUCGGGGCAUGUGCACGUUUGCCACCAAUUUUAACCACCUGUGCACCUUUUGUAGAUUGGAAACGUUUCUCGAGGCAACUCGGAUUUGAGGACUGCUGUGCGCAAGCCGGCUGUUCUUGUGUUUCUCAAUCUAUGUUUUCAUAUACUCCUAAUGUAUGUAUCAGAAUGU